GGAGGGUUGGUGAAAAUAUCAUACCUGUCUGUCAAAUGGGUGUUACUGAAAAUAUCGGUACCCUCCU
rnacentral:tRNA from 1 species